GGGGCUAUAGCUCAGUUGGUAGAGUGCUUCAAUGGCAUUGAAGAUGUCAGCGGUUCGAGUCCGCUUAGCUCCA
rfam:Phormidium ambiguum IAM M-71 NIES-2119_Scaffold_12, whole genome shotgun sequence.